rnacentral:misc_RNA from 1 species
CAUAUAGGGGAUCCACUAAGAAAAGACCCGCUACAUGGCUCUUCACAAAAACUACAAAAGGAAGUUUCGCAAGGUUGAUCUGUCAUCUCUGUCCAUCGAACAGCCCAUUGGUGCAUUACAUUCUCAAAUCCAACCAUAGAUACACACUUGCAAUCCUUGUGUGCACUUGAAGAGCAACUUAGGUGUGCCGCUGCACCACAAAUGCUACAGUGGUGAAUAAAACUGUCUGAGGCCACCAUAGGCCCAAGAGUUUGAGAAGGAGACAUGGACCUUAAACAGACACAGCAAUUUAAAUUCUUUCCACGCGAUAUAGGUUCGAGAACCCACUUAUGAGGAGUUACAGGAACCUUAUGCCUUGCCUUUGGGUUUUUCUUUGACCUGGCUACGGCUUUCAUCCAAUUUAGAUUGAUGUUUCUUCUCCAUUGGAAAGCGGUGUAAGCUAUUGUCAAAAUACCAACUAAAGCAGCAAUUAAGCAAGAUAAAAUAAAAAUAC